UUCAGUUCUGCCAAACACAUAAGAGUGUUGAUGAGUGUAUAAUCCACUUCACUCAUAUCUCAUGUUAAUUAGCUUGUGGUUUAAUCUCGAAGGAAUUCCACUAUCCCACGGAUGUCAUCACAUCAUGAGUGUGAAUCUCCACAUUGAUUUCUCACCAUUCGGAGGAACAGGUGAAGCAUCUGAGGAAUGAAGCUACACUUAAUCCACUAGGGGGCAGUGGAGUAUUACAGCGAGAUGAAGUGGAAUGGUGCGCAUACUACACAACCAACACACACAAUAACCUCAUAAACGGAGAGAUCUUUCACCUGACACUCUCGCUGAUGCAAACACCACCAUCUCAAGAAAAAUUCACAGGCUUGGCAGUCUGACUUGGAAGUGUGGAAGUUUUUACUAUUUGUUCAAUUAGUAAAAAGUCAAUCAUGAAAUCACUGAGAAACAAUUUCUUCUGGGUUUUUUUGUUGGUGUAGUCGUUUUUAAAAUUUAAUUAUUGCAUGCUGCGUUUGAUUUCAAAAUGUGCUUUUUUAAUGAAUAGGAUAUUUCCCCACCGACUCUUUACUGAGUUUCCUUUUACACUGAAAGUUAUUGUUAAUAAAUACCGUCACCCAUAAUUGUAAGAAUGGAAAUUUCAUAUUUUUUGUACAUUUCAUUGAAUUUUCAUUCAUUACUUUCAUUUAAUUACUUUCAUUACAACAAGUGAUGGGAUGCCAGUCCAUCACCGAGCACCAUGCAUGCAUGCACACACACACACACACACACACACACACACACACCUAGUGGCAAUUGAUCAUAGACAGGCCACCUCCCAGCAUGUUUUUGGGAGGUAGGAGGAAACCGGGGAACCCAGUUGAGCACUCCAAAGAAGAGCAGCUUGCUACUUUAUUCAAAUGAUAGGAAUGAUAAUAUCCCAUGGCUUGCAAUCACACUGUUGUUGUUUUUUGUUCUCACCAUUGGUCCCAUGCUACUCACACUUGAUAUGUUGUGGUGCUUUUAAACCUGAUUGAAAAUCUCCUCUGAACUCCUCUGACUAUAUGAUUUCAGUACUAAAGAUCUGUCACUAAAGGUGCAUCAGGUAAGAUUUGUG